UUAGAGGCAUAACCGCAUUGAAAGCAAUGUCGCAAGUGAGGUAAUCUUCACACAACCCAUGUAAUACAUAAGGGAAAGAGAUACAUAGUUGGCUUACAAUCGCCACUUCACACAAUUACAUGAAUAAAGCAUUACAUCAUCCAGAUACAAUCAAGGUCCGACUACGGAACCAAAAUAAAAGAAGAACCCCAAAUGCGACAAAGGUCCCCGAUCGACCCCAACUGGGCUCCACUACUGAUCAACUAGAACGAAACAACACAAAGGGCAAGAUCUUCAUCGAGCUCCUCCUUGAGCUUGGUUGCGUCAUCUGCACGGUAACAUAGGCACCUGCAAACUGGUUUUGGAAGUAUCUGUGAGCCACGGGGACUCAGCAAUCUCGCACCCGCGAGAUCAAGACUAUUUAAGCUUAUAGGAAGGAUGGAGUAAUGAGGUGGAGCUGCAGCAAGCGACUAGCAUAUAUGGUGGCUACAAUCGCAAAAGAGAGCGAGAAGAGAGGGCAAAGCACGGUCGAUAAAAGUAUGAUGAAGAAGUGAUCCUAUAGCAACCUACGUCAAGCAUAACUCCAACACCGUGUUCACUUCCCGGACUCCGCCGGAAAGAGACCAUCACGGUUACACACACGGUUGAUGUAUUUUAAUUAAGGUCAACUUCGGGUUUUCUACAACCGGACGUUAACAAAUUCCCAUCUGCCCAUAACCGCGGGCACGGCUUUCGAAAGUUCAAAUCCCUGCAGGGGUGUCCCAACUUAGCCCAUGACAAGCUCUCACGGUCAACGAAGGAAUAGACCUCCACCCGAGAUGUUCCGAUCAGACUCGGUAUCCCGGUACAACAAGACAUUUCGACAGGGUAAAACUAAACCAGCAGCACCGCCCGAAUGUGCCGACAAAUCCCGUUAGGAGCUGCACAUAUCUCUUUCUCAGGGCACACUCAGAUGAGCAAUCCGUACAACUAAAACCAAACCUCGAGUUUCCCCGAGGGGGCGCUGCACAGGGCUCUAGUUCGGACCAACACUCAGAGGAGCACUGGCCCGGGGGGGGGGGUUAAAAAAUGAUGACCCUUGAGUCUGCAGAACCCAAGGGAAAGAAAAGGCUAGGUGACAAAUGGUAAAACCAAUGUUGGGCAUUGCUGGAGAAGCUUUACUAAAGGCGAACUGUCAAGGGGUUCCCAUUAUAGCCCAACCGCGUAAGGAACGCAAAAUCCGGGAACAUAACACCGAUAUGACGGAAACUAGGGUGGCAAGAGUGGAACAAAACACCAGGCAUAAGGCCGAGCCUUCCACCCUUUACCAAGUAUAUAGAUGCAUUAAUUUAAUAAGAUAUAUUGUGAUAUCCCAACAAGUAAACAUGUUCCAACAAGGAACAUCAUCUCCAUGUUCCAACAAGGAACAAACUUCAAUCUUCACCUGCAACUAACAAUGCUAUAAGAGGGGCUGAGCAAAGCGGUAACAUAGCCAAUCAAUGGUUUGCUAGGACAUGGUGGGUUAGAGGUUUGACAUGGCAAUUUGGGAGGCUGACCAGCAAAUGGUAGGCAUCGUAGCAUUGGCAUAGCAAAAGAGCGAGCAAACUAGCAUAGCAAAGAUAGUGGUGAUUUCGAGGGUAUGAUCAUCUUGCCUGAGAUCCCGCAAGGAAGAAGAACGAGUCCAUGAAGAAGACAAACGGCCGUAGACGAACAAAUCCUCACAACUCCGGAACGAAACCGAAGCUAACGAGAGAAGCAACCCGGAAAGAAACAAACAACAUGGUAAACACACAAGCAUAAACAAGUCAUGAUGCACAAACAAGUAUGAUGCAUGUCCGGUUUAAUGAGGCAUGGCAUGGCAAAGUGCAACAAACAAUACUACAAGUUAAGUGGAGCUCAAUAUGCAACGAGGUGCAUGUUGACGAAACACCACAUCAAUUAUUUAGUUAUCUCUCGUUUAAGCUACCCAACAAUAUUAACUGUUGUUAAACAUGGCAAGAGGUGAAGCAUAAUAUAAACUAUACCAUCUAAACAAUUUAAAUGGGGCCGGAUAUAAAAACAACAAAUCCGGUAAAUCCCCAUAUGCAUUUAGCAAUUUAAUGCAACAACAAGUUUAAACAUUUUAAAUGUUGUUAUCAUGAUGCGGAUGACAUAUACAAGUUUUAUGCAAUUUUAUGAAAAUGUUGACAUGAGCAUGUUAUGAAGCAUUUGGUCACCAUGGCGGAACAAAAAGGGUGCCACGGCGGCGAAACAAAAAUGGUGCCACGGCAACUUCCGGUCCCGGUAACUCAUGGAGAUACCGGUGCAAAAGGAGGCGUGCGGAUGUGCGGAACAUGCUAGAGAUGGUGGGGUGAUCCCGGUUACCGGGUUCCCACGGUUCAUCGGCAUGACGAACGAGGAGGAACGUGCAUGAAGCAAACGGGCAUGGUGCAAACAUAGGGUGCAUCUCAUACAACACAAGCAUUCGGUCCACGGAUGGCGUCUCGGGGUUAUACCUUUGAAGCGUGCAUUUUCAAAGCGAAUCGGUUCGGAGGGGAAGUAGUCGUUCUCGCGACGGUAGAGGUUCACGUUUCGUAGUCGUUCGAGCCAUCGGUAGCGGUACUUGAUGAAUCCCGAAACGAACUUGGCGUCUUCGUGCGUAGGGGUACUUGGCGUUUCCGGAGACGACGGUAGAGGUACUUGACGCGUCCUUGUGGUACUUGGCAAAAAUCAUAGAGACGAUGCUUGGCGGUCCUGGGAUGGUCUUGGCGUCCAUGUAGUCGAUCUUGCAGAUCUUGACGGUCCAACACAAAACAUCACAAGGGGCCUCGUGAGCGAUGACGAUGCUGAGCAGGAACUUGGGCGAACUGCAUUGGCUGAAACGGAAGGUGGGGGUCGGCUUGUAGCAGAGGAACGGCAGGAGCAGGGGAGCUCCAGCAGGGACCGAGGCGCGGCAGGGGAGGACCCUGGCGAGGCACAGCCAGGUCCGGUGGUGGCGGCAGCAGGCUCUAGUGGUGGCGAAAGGGCGCGACGACGAUGGGGCCCCUGGUCGCCAUAGAGGAAGCAGAGGAAGGCGCGGGUGGCCAUGGCGCUGAGCGACGAGCUGCUGCUGCUCGAAGCGGACAGAGGCAACUAGGGGGCACGGACGAGGCCGGGAAGACGGGGAUGAGCGCCCAGGUCGCAGGGGAGGCGGGCGACGGAGCAAGAGGUGCACGGAGGCCUCGAUGUGCAGGGGGUCGCUGGGCAGGGACAACGGCCGCGGGACUUGGCGCGGCAGCGGCUUCGGGCCGGACCAAGGAGGAGGGCAGCGAGGGGAUCACGUGCAGAGGCGACGGGGCCGCCGGAGUUGGUCUCUAGGUGGUGUUGCGGAGGCCGGGCGCGGGGCCGGCAGGGGCGUGGUCGCGGGGCUCGGGAGGAGAAGCAGGGCGCGGCGAGCGAAGACGGGGCGGCGUCGGGCGCACAGGGCGAGGAGAAGGGCGAGGAGGUCCUGGCACGGGGACGGCAGGGAGAGGUGGAGCGGGGGCGCUCGAUGCAGGAGGAGGAAGGGCCAGGUGGAUCGGGAGGAGCGGGGCUCUCCCUAGCGAUGCGAGCAUGCGUGCGAUGGGGAUCGAGUGCGGCGCUGAGGGAGGACGAGGAGGGGGGUUCGAGGGAGAGAUGUUUAGCGAAUCGGGCAGAGAGUUAGGGUUAGUAGGGACUGGGCCGGAAUGGAUGGGCCUUGGCCUUGUGCCGGCGCGGGAGGAUGGGAGGCCCAGGCUGCUGGGCUCCUUCUCUCUCUCUCUCUAAAGAAAAUAAAAACAAAACAGAGAUAGGAAAGAAAAGAAAGAGGGGUUAGGGGAAGAAGUAGGACAUGGGGAUAAUUUUUCCGGACUCGCAAAAAUGAGUUUGUUCCGAGAAAAAUAGAAAGGCCAAGAUUGAAAGAUUAAAUUCAAACUCAUUUGAUUUAAAUUCAAAUGAUUUGAAUAGGAAGUGAGGGUUGGGAAGGUCCAAAAAUGUUUGGAUUUUUGGUGGAGCUCCGGAAAAUGAUGAAAUAAUUUAUGGGCAGAGUUGGAGAUCAAGAAUUAAGAUAAUAAAGGCAUUGAGAAUUAUUUGCAAGUGUGUUAUGGUGAUUUCCGAAACAAUGGAAUAUUUUAUAAUAUAGCUCCCUAAAUAUCGGGAGGGUAUGUUAUAAAGAGAAGUCACCAUGUGAGUUCCCUCGGUUUAAAUAGAUCAAAAGAUCUAUGCAAUUUAUUUAGAUGAGUUUUAAAAAAAAUAAAUGACAUGAUGGCAUGAUGCAAUGCAAAUGAUGCAACAAACAAAACAAAUCACACGACGAAACUCGGAGUAGCUGGAAGUCUUCUGGAGCGUCGGUCUCGGGGCGUUACAACACUCCACCACUACAAGAGGAUCUCGUCCCGAGAUCUAGGAUGGCACCGGAGAGAAAUGGAAGAGGAAGAGAAGAGGUAAAACUAAGUUGCUUCUUUGACCAAUGAGUGAAACCAAGGAACCUUGAGAGGUUGAACAAAUUGAAAGAAAGAAUACAAAGGAGAUGAACGAGAUUGCAAACAAUCCGUUAGAAAGAGGAACAAGGAACAUUACGAGAACUUGAAGGUUGCAAAGACAUGAAUCAAGAGUUUAAUGGACAAGAUAGAAUUCGAAACCACUCCGGUUAAAACAAGAUGAGAGGGGAAGAAUUCGGCAGUACUCCGGUUGAACAUGGAAGGAAUAGAACAUGAACUUGAGAAGAUGGGAUGUUACUUGAUGAAAUCAACAACACACUGCCUCCGGAACUAUUGAAAGAAUGACACAAUGGGUAAGAAGGAUUUCAGACAGCUCUCCAGUUGAGGAAGGAGGGAAAACUUGAUAAGAUUAGAGAACUCGAAUGAAAACACGACACUCCGGUUAAAUGGAUAAGCAAGAAAAGAACACGAUCCUCACGAAUCGAGAUGGUGAUUGAAAAGAACAACGUUACAAUGCCUCCGAAAGAAAUAAUAGAAGAUAUAUCAUUGGAAUAACAGAAUGGAGAAGAAAAUGCCAACUUCUGCCACAAAUGAGCUUGGAAAGCACUCUUCCAAGAAGGUUACAACGGGGUUGUUGGGAAAAACCAACAACGAAACGAAUAAGCUUGUAGUGGGCUUAUGGAAAACAUCUCAAAAUUAUGAGGUGACAACCGGCCACUAACGGAAACGAUUGCUAGCUUUAGAUCGACGAAGAGAUGAACACUUCUUCCACCAAGAUGAUAAAGAGAUAACUUGGAUCAUUGGCAAGCACCACAAAUAGCAACAUUCCAAUGGAAGGCUUUUAGGUGAAAUAUGACACAAGAUAACUCCAACAACGAGGUUGAUGGAUUUAAAAAUAACUCAUUCUUAACAACAUGUGAAUCAUGGAACAUGAACUCAAAUUAUCAAGAAUGACAUAAUACCACCUCCAAAAUAUGGUAGAAAGAAUUGCACUCCGGAUUACCAUAUGAAGAAAUCUUGAGCUCCUUAGGAAAGAAUCUCGAUGUAAACUUUGAGAAGGGAAUUAAAUCCUUGAUGAACCAUCAUGUAGAACCUCCAUGAAGAACUCCGGUAAACAAAAGGAAUGAAAAGAAAGAGAAAUUGAAAACACAAGGUGAAUCCUUGCAAUGAUUUAGAUGGAUCUCCGUGAUAAUUAGAGCUUGGAACUCCGGGAAAAAGAGAAGAUGAAACAAAUGAAACCGAGAAUUUUAAGGCCUCCGGAAUAAAGAAUUAAUCACUUGGAUGAACAAGAAUAAGAAUUAUGUUAUGCUUAUCCUUCACCAAUUAAAUUGACGACAAUCAACGGAUUUGGCAUACUACUUAUUCUCGUAGAAAGGAUUAAAAGAGAUAUAGCGUAAACUUGAAAAGGUCUUCAACGAACCACCGGUAGGAUUGGAACAACAAAUGAAUUGAUAUGAUGAACAAGGAAGAGAGAUCUUGAAAGAACCACCGUAAGAAUUGAAAAUGAUCGAAGUAGGGGUGCAUCACCGGUAAGAAUUAGCAAAUGAACGAAGGUGCUUGAGACAAACUAGAUACAUGAGAACAAAGAGAUCAAGAACUGAUUAGAGGAUAUUCGAUAGAUGCACCGGCAAGAUAGGAGAAUGAUAACUGACGGCUGAGAAUGAAUAAACCUGAAUUGAUGGACUCCGGAUGACAAACUGAGAAGACUCUUGAAUAUCUCCUGAUGGGUGAAAAAGAUUCUCACAAUCGAAAACAAUUAUGAGAGGAUGGCAACAAGCUAGCACCAUGAAUCUUGAAGAGAAUAGAGCAAGAUUAAAGAGAAACUCUUCUUCGGUCUUCAAAUGAUGAGAAUGACAACGAGAAACACCACCAAGAAUUAUUGAGGCACACCGGAAGAAUCAAAAGCGAAGAGGUUGAGCCAACUAUGAAAAGAAUUUGAAAGAUCUUGGAGAAAAGCAUUUGACUAAUGAUAACUCAUUCUUACGUCAAACUUGGAGAAGAAUUUAGGAUAGCUCUGGGAAAAUAGAAGAGUCAGGUAAGAUCCUGGGAAAAGACAUGUGGGUUAGGGCCCACUCAAAAGAACACCGUUGAAAAGAUUUAAAAGAGAUGUUGCACCGGUUGAAUUAAAUGACUUGAAUGAGAUACCAAUCUCGAAAGAGCUUGAACGAAUGCAGAGUGGAAACACGAAUCUUCGAGAUAUCUUGAGCACUCCGGAACAAUUUAAUAGCGAGAGAUGGAUGAUUAAGAGGUGCACCGGCAUAAGAAAAGCAUUGGGAAAAAAAGAAAAGGAGUAUGCUUAAUACCAAAGCUUGAAUUAAAUUCACCGGAGAAGAAAAGAACGAGGAAUGACGAACUUGAAGCUCCAUUAGAAUAUACGUGAGAAUCACCGGAUAAGAAUAUUGACGGGAAAAGAAUGGAGAGAUUUCCACCAAUAAAAUGGAUACUUGAAUAAGAAUCUGGGUCCUUGGAGAAAAACAAAGGGAGGGAGGGUGGGAAAACAAAGGCAACUUGGAGAUGGAUGACACAAACAACGUUGAGAAGAACUGAUACUUGAUCUUGUGAAUGUUGAAAUGAUCAGAACCACUUGGAGAGAAAACACGCCGGUUGAAAAGGAUUAACAUGACAAACUCGAUGAUCAAGAAGGAUUAGUAUUCACAUAGGAAUAUGAGAACACCAUUUGGAAAAGGUAUGGAAUCAACAUUUGACUUCGAAGCAACUCGAAUACCACAACUCAAAACAAAACAAAGGAUUGGCUUGCAAAAUAAGCCAGAACAAACAUAUGAUAGAGAUUUCGUCCGAAGUUUUCGUGGUGGGGCCUACAUGGGCUCGAUCGUACAGCACCAUCAUGUACAAGGCAGUGCACAUGACAUACGAAGCGUCCCCGAGUCGGCAUAGCCAAGGACUCUUUAAGACACAACGAGACCACUGUAAAAUCGACCGUGAAUAGGCGGACCACUAGACGUCGAACCCCAAUUUCAUAUCAUACAUCCGUCGGAAAGAUAUCCUAAGAGCUACUUGAAUUCCCACCUAUGAAACUCCCGAAAUUUUCAGGUUAUGCAAUCAGGUGUUGGGGAUACAGGGGAAGCAUAAUAUCUCACCCAAAACUAACAAAUCCUACAUCCAGCUGUAUCCAUCCUUCAACACAUAACCAAGAAACCUUUGGAAAUCAUCUACCUCAACAUUCGAAAAGCAUCCGUUAUACAAGUCAUGGCAAUACUCCCGUACUCACCUCAGUACUGGGUUAUCGGGGUUAUCUCACCAACAACUGCAUAAAAGAGAUUUUCGAUGUCGGCGUACUAAACUCAGGUAUUCCAGAACUGCAACGAUAAAAUUAUGACGACAACACCUCAGAGCUCAACUCCCCGGGACACUUCCACUAAACCCCUGACAGGAGGCACCAAGACAAUGUUGUCAUCAUAAAACCAUCGGAACAAUUCCAAGAUACCCGCGUGAUCCUAAAAAAAUUUAGUGAAAUUUGAGAAGAGAAGAGUCAAAACUCUACGUCAGGAUGCCUUACCAGAGCGAUGAGGAUAUUGGGAAGUAAAAACAAUUCCUAACUCUCCGAUAUAUAUAAUCCUCAAUGACUCAAAAUAUUUUUCUAGACACAACUCGGCCGCUAAAAACGAUCAAGCAAUGGGGCUCCUAAGGUCGGGGAAGGCUCUGAUACCAACUUGUAACGCCCUCGAUGCGGCUAUAUCUCCCACGCGUCGAAGCACGACUUAGAGGCAUAACCGCAUUGAAAGCAAUGUCGCAAGUGAGGUAAUCUUCACACAACCCAUGUAAUACAUAAGGGAAAGAGAUACAUAGUUGGCUUACAAUCGCCACUUCACACAAUUACAUGAAUAAAGCAUUACAUCAUCCAGAUACAAUCAAGGUCCGACUACGGAACCAAAAUAAAAGAAGAACCCCAAAUGCGACAAAGGUCCUCGAUCGACCCCAACUGGGCUCCACUACUGAUCAACUAGAACGAAACAACACAAAGGGCAAGAUCUUCAUCGAGCUCCUCCUUGAGCUUGGUUGCGUCAUCUGCACGGUAACAUAGGCACCUGC
rnacentral:lncRNA from 1 species